GCCCCCCUGCUCCCGUUUCUCUCCCCUCAGGCACAUGGCGCAGCAGGAGGCCAAGAGGCCCGUGGAGGCCAGCACGGGUGCCGUGAAGCGGCUGUCUGAGCUCCUGUAGGGCGGCCCUGGCAGGAGCUUCUCCAGCUGGAGCAGCUGGAAAACCAGCUGUCAGACGCCAUUCAACGCUACGGCCUUGUGCAAAAGGUGAGGACCCCUGCGGGAUGCCGGGAGGGGUGGGGUCACACUCGCUGGCUCAUCCUUGGCCCAAGC
rnacentral:lncRNA from 1 species